UGAACGCUAGCUACAGGCUUAACACAUGCAAGUCGAGGGGCAGCAUUGGGGUAGCAAUACUCAGAUGGCGACCGGCGCACGGGUGAGUAACACGUAUCCAACCUGCCGCUUACUCGGGGAUAGCCUUUCGAAAGAAAGAUUAAUACCCGAUGGUAUAAAGAGUUCGCAUGUUCUCUUUAUUAAAGAAUUCGGUAAGCGAUGGGGAUGCGUUCCAUUAGAUAGUUGGCGGGGUAACGGCCCACCAAGUCUACGAUGGAUAGGGUUCUGAGAGGAAGGUCCCCCACAUUGGAACUGAGACACGGUCCAAACUCCUACGGGAGGCAGCAGUGAGGAAUAUUGGUCAAUGGACGAGAGUCUGAACCAGCCAAGUAGCGUGAAGGAUGACUGCCCUAUGGGUUGUAAACUUCUUUUAUAAGGGAAUAAAGUGAGGGACGUGUCCCUUUUUGUAUGUACCUUAUGAAUAAGGAUCGGCUAACUCCGUGCCAGCAGCCGC
rnacentral:rRNA from 1 species